rnacentral:lncRNA from 1 species
GCGUGUUGUUUUGAACGUCCACCUAAUCAGGCUCGAACUCUUAUGCGUCAUAGAAGGCAUUUCUUCCACCAAAGUUUGGUUGACGUGGAAAUAGAGAGUAGGUACUUUAAAUGCCAUCAAACAGUCUUAAGUAAUUAAAUUUCAGAACACCAUGUAAGGCUAUUAAAACAGCAGCAAGGACGGAAAAUGAUUCCCCAACCACCUCACAACUUUUGCCACUCUAGAAAGAAGCAUCUCACACUCCAAGGAACCGUCUUCUCUGGUUUCACCCACCUGAUAUCUUGAAAGGUAUGGAAUCUUUAUUAAAAUAAGAUAGUAUCUAAAUCUCCCCCGUAAUAAGAAGGCAACCUACUGCAUGAAGUUUUUGUGGUUCCAAAUUAAUCGAUGGAGAUUUUAGUGAAUAUUUAAAAGAU